AACGCAACUUGCACCUGUCUGCCCCGUGUUGACAGGUAUACUUGUUUGAGUAUCGCAUCUACCUCACCUCGGUGGAGCUGGGCGUGUCGACGGUCGACUCGCCUGAAAUGCAGUGCUGCCGCGUGCAGUGCCGAUGGGAUAACAUCACAUUUGGCCGGCGUGGGCAGCAAACGCGUGUCUGGGGAGCGCACGAACAUCGAUCUCAAAUCAAGUAAGGGUACCCGCUGAACUUAA
rnacentral:misc_RNA from 1 species